AUGAAAUUUUAAGAGCAAAUGGGGUAUACCAGCUGUUCAGGAUUUAAAAAGGGAACCCUUCCAGUCCUCAAAACAAAAUGCAUUACUUCUGUGCUGAGGAAGAUUGAGCAGAAUCAGGAGUUAAGCUGGGAUCCUUGGCAAGUGACCCUCUGCUCUUAACAUGAGGGCUUAAACUGCUGGUCAAAACUGAACGCUUGUGCCGUGAUCCUGCCGUGCAUGGACCUGAAACGGAGAAAUGAGAAGCAAUAUUCUGCAUACGCACUAGCGCUCCGUGGAGGGCUGGGGAAACACAGCUGCGGAGCUGCAAGAGACCGGGGCUGACGCUGUAAGACAAGGAUCAACACCUUUCGCCUCAGAACAAGCGUUCUGCACCGCCGGAAAAUACUGAGGAGACUUCCAAGUAUAUAAUAAAAUGGGAGGGGGGGGGGGGGGGGGGGGGUGUGGAGAGGAGGAGACCCGGACCCGGCGCCGGUUCAUAUCGAGAGCUCUGCUCCCUCCUUCCCCCCCAACCUCCCCGGGGGGCAGCGGGCUUCCCCACGCCCACCACUU